GACGAACGCUGGCGGCGCGCCUAACACAUGCAAGUCGAACGAGCGGGAGAGAGCUUGCUUUCUCGAGCGAGUGGCGAACGGGUGAGUAACGCGUGAGGAACCUGCCUCAAAGAGGGGGACAACAGUUGGAAACGACUGCUAAUACCGCAUAAGCCCACAGGUCGGCAUCGACCAGAGGGAAAAGGAGCAAUCCGCUUUGAGAUGGCCUCGCGUCCGAUUAGCUAGUUGGUGAGGUAACGGCCCACCAAGGCGACGAUCGGUAGCCGGACUGAGAGGUUGAACGGCCACAUUGGGACUGAGACACGGCCAG
rnacentral:rRNA from 1 species